CGCCCAAUGGUCUAGUAGUAUGAUACUUCUUUAGGGUAGAAGUGGUCCCGGGUUCAAUUCCCGGUUGGGCCC
rfam:Rhizoclosmatium globosum strain JEL800 BCR33scaffold_32, whole genome shotgun sequence.